CGCCGCCGCCGCCGCCGCCGCUCCCAGGCUCCCUCCCCGAGCGCCGGCCGGGGCGUGGGGGGCGGCGGGGCCGCGGGCGGCCGGGGGGCGCGCACUGAUUGGCGCCCGAGACAGGACCCUCAGCCUCCGGGGAUCUUACCAGAAUUCUGAUCUUUUAUGACUUCAUCUUCAGAGCCUGGAAAACACUUCUGGAGCCUUGCUGUAAUAAAAAUGGUCACUUGACCCUGUAGUGGAAGACUUCAGUCAAUGAAGAGUACACCGAAAUUGAAAUGAAGAAUUAAUCUACUUAGAAAGUAGGGUUGGGAGUGUAGCUCAUGCCUCAUGCAUAGGGAAGCCCUGAGUUUGAUCCCUGUCACACACAAAAAGUAGAUGAAUAUAGAUUUUAAAUCUUACCUUUUGGGCCGGGAAGAAGCAUGGUUAAUGUAAGUGUUUUGUAUGGAGGAAACCUGAUUUUGACCCCUGGUACCAUCCGGUUCCCCCAGUACUUUUGGGAUUGAUCCCAAUCAUCAGUAGCCCCCUAAGUACUGCUGGUGCGACCCAAAAUAUAAACAAAUUGAUAGAGAAUAGAUAGAUAGAUCUUUGAUUUCAUACCUACCUGAAAAUCCAGAAUGAAAAAUCCUGGAUGAAAAUAGGGAAGAAUCAAUGUAUUCUUAGGUAGCGCUUUUUGGACUUCAAUUCCCGUUCCUAUCACUUUGGAGAUGUUACUAAAAUGCAGGUCCUAUUUGAGGUUUGGACAAAUGUUUUGACUUUCCAGUAAAUUUUCAGAUGAUGCUAGGCUGCUGACUGCUGAAUCCUUUAAACAUGGUGUGCAGAAGGAACACGCCUAUUGGCCAAAGUGUUAAAAACACAGGGAUACUUACCUACUGGCUCUGUGGGAGUACAAAUAAGUUUAAAAAAAGGAGAAGCAUGAAUCAAACAAGACACAGUUGUACACAUUUAGAUGGAAUCAAACAUGUACUACCCAGGCCUUCACUGAAUACAAAGAAAGAUAUUUUUGAAAUUUCCUAUGAAGCUUCAAAAAAAAAAAAAGAAUCAUUGUAUCUUUCACUGGAGAGGAAAAGUGCAGCAUUUUCUAUUAAGAGGAAACCAAAGGCUCUCAGCUGCCGAAUUGUAUGGUGCCAGUUUACACAAAUCUCUACCUCUCUGCCUUUCCUCAAAAGUCUCUAAUGAUAUGGGUCCUGGAAAAUAAUUUGUCUUUUUCCAAGGUGUACUCUUAAUUUUACAAUAAAAGCUCUUCCAGAAAAUUCAAGCAAAAAAAGAAAGGGUGGGGGAGGUAAUUUUAUAGUAUUGUUGAGACAUCGAUUAGAAAACAUAUGCUUUAGAAUUUAGGACAUUUUAAGAGAAUUAUGGGCUUACAAUGUGUAUCUAUGCAGUUUUAGCUUGCACAGUAUCAGAAAUUUCUAAGGGUUUAUAAGCAUUUACAGAAUGACUGUAGGCUUUCAACUGCAGGGCAUUUUUCUAGAUCAUCUGCUUAAUGCUCCUAUAGACACCCACCUAUCAAAUAGGUGAUUUUUCAAUAUGUACCGGGCCAAAAUAGACCUGGAUUUGUGAAUUGUAUCUGUUCUUUUACUAAUUGUGUGUGUGUGUGUGUGUGUGUGUGUGUGUGUGUGUAAGAAGCAGUGCUGUUUGCCUUACAAUAUACAAUGUGCAGAAGAUAUAAACAAUACUGCCGAUAGCUGAUUGAGAUCAUGUGUUUUGAAGCCUUGCAACCUGGUGAGCAUGGCCCUAGUUAGGUUAGUAACUGUUUCCGUUGAGUUGUUGCUACUGCACACCAGGCUGCUAUUGCCAUCUUUGACCUUCUUAAUGUUUUAUUUGGAGAAUCAGUUACGUGUUUCUUUAUUCUUACAUGCCAACUUCUCCUUUAUAUUUUAAGAAGACUUCAAGAGGGCCGGAGCGAUAGUACAGCGAGUAAGGCAUUUGCCUUGCAUGCGGCCGACCCGGGUCUGAUCUCCAGCAUCCCAUAUGGUCCACCAAGCACUGCCAGGAAUAAUUCCUGAGUGCGGAGCCAGGAGUAAACCCUGCGCAUUGCUGAGUGUGACCCAAAAAUCAAAACAACAAAAAAAACACUUCAAGAACACAGCAUCCGUUUACAAGACUGUUGAAAACAACCUUGUACUGCUUUAGUGCUUGAUCUGAGGUGCGUAGGAAAAACAAUGUCAGUUGAUUUUCAUCCUCAACUUUUCAGAUCUUUGAAGGAAAAUGAGGACUAGUUUGAAAAGCUGUUUGCUGUUUGAACAUAAUCUUAGCCAACAUCACUCUUCUGAUCAUUAUCUAUAGCAACGGUAAAGCAUACAUGUAGCCGCUCCUUUUCUUUUGGAGGGGCGGGGGUGGGGGCGGCUAGUGGGCCCAAUACCUGCUGAGAGCUCUGGGCUCAUGUGUGGUGUAUUCAGUGGAUCAUGUGAAGCUGGGACUCAAACCCAAGGCACUCGUGUAGCAGCGACUUCUCUAAGUACUUGUGUUCAUUUUUCCUCUCCCAGUAAGCAUUAAUAGUUGGAAAACAUUUAUUCCUGACCGUAAUAUUUCACCUGAAGUAAAUCUGAGAUGUGGAUCUUCGGCAAAGACAUAAGCAGGGCAGAGCAGGUCCCACAACCAAAUGCGAAGUUAAAACAGACUGUUUUAAAAGUGUUAAAGUACUU